rnacentral:rRNA from 1 species
GACGGAGGUCUCAAGCGUUGUUCGGAAUCACUGGGCUUAAAGCGCGUGUAGGCGGGACGGUAAGUACCGUGUGAAAUCCCCGGGCUCAACCCGGGAAUGGCUCGGUAUACUGUCGUCCUUGAGGCAGGUAGGGGUCGCUGGAACCUUAGGUGGAGCGGUGAAAUGCGUAGAUAUCUAAGGGAACGCCUGUGGCGAAAGCGGGUGACUGGGCCUGUCCUGACGCUGAGACGCGAAAGCGUAGGGAGCGAACGGG